rnacentral:rRNA from 1 species
CCAGACUCCUACGGGAGGCAGCAGUAAGGGAUAUUGGUCAAUGGGGGAAACCCUGAACCAGCAACGCCGCGUGAGGGAAGACGGUUUUCGGAUUGUAAACCUCUGUCCUCUGUGAAGAUGAUGACGGUAGCAGAGGAGGAAGCUCCGGCUAACUACGUGCCAGCAGCCGCGGUAAUACGGAGGAUGCGAGCGUUAUCCGGAUUUAUUGGGUUUAAAGGGUGCGUAGGCGGACUGGAAAGUCAGCGGUAAAAUCGGGAGGCUCAACCUCUUUCCGCCGUUGAAACUGUCGGUCUUGAGUGGGCGAGAAGUAUGCGGAAUGCGUGGUGUAGCGGUGAAAUGCAUAGAUAUCACGCAGAACUCCGACUGCGAAGGCAGCAUACCGGCGCCCGACUGACGCUGAGGCACGAAAGCGUGGGUAUCGAACAGGAUUAGAUACCCCAGUAUUC